UCGAGCCGUGGAAACCUCUUGCAGAAAUGCAGGGUAAGACUGCUUACAAUAAACCUUUGUGGUCCGGCCCUUCCCUGUUACCCGCGCAUAGCUGGAGUUUAGUGCACCGGGCUCCUUGUCCAGCACAUCACCUUGACGUGUCAAUAUUCCUGUGCUGCUCUUAGAAUAGCUCCAGAUUUGGGCAGGGAAAGUGAUAAAACCCCAUCGGUGAAGACUUAUUUUAGAAGAAAGCGUGAAAGAGGAGAUCAAGAUUUGGGCAGCCUUGAACAAGUCUAACUUCUUCAAUACGUAGCUACCAUUCCUGCCCGCUAUCAGAUCAGACAUUACAGUUUUCUUAGUUAUUUGUCGUAAAAAGUAUGUAUCCUAUAAAUAUCUAGUUAGGAUUGGUUUUUGGGGCAUCAAAUGUAUGUUUGAAUAUUUGUAUCUGGGAGUUUUAUCCACUCCACGGGGACAGAUUAAUUGGCUGUAAAUUUUGUUUAAGAUUCUUGCUAGAAUUUUCCUUCUAUUCA